rnacentral:rRNA from 1 species
CGUAGGGUGCUAACGUUGUUCGGAAUCACUGGGCAUAAAGAGCGCGUAGGCAGUCUGAUAAGUCAGGUGUGAAAUCCCCCGGCUCAACCGGGGAACUGCACCUGAUACUGUUGGGCUUGAGUGCAGGAGGGGAGAGCGGAAUUCCUGGUGGAGCGGUGAAAUGCGUAGAUAUCAGGAGGAACGCCGGCGGCGAAAGCGGCUCUCUGGCCUGUUACUGACGCUGAGGCGCGAAAGCUAGGGGAGCAAACGGGAUUAGAUACCCCGGUAGUCCUAGCCCUAAACGAUGGGUACUAAGUAGAGGAAAUUCCGAUAUUUUCUCUGCCGGAGCUAAUGUAUUAAGUACCCCGCCUGGGGAGUAUGGUCGCAAGGCUA